GGUUCUGCUGCCAUGGCUUCUUCUUCAAAUCCACCUUCACCACUACUCUUGGACUCAGUGGAGCCAUCAAACAUCAAAACCCAAUAAAUUCUUUAUCUAUCCACAACAAAAAGACAGUAAAAAAGAUUGCAGAUUUCACUAUAAACGACAAAAAGUUGAAAAUGACGUUUUCUUGACUUAUGUUAUGAAAAAGAAUCAGAGAGUCGUAAGCUCAGGUGAUCGGAGGAAACUCCGGGGAGCCAACUCUUGUGGAGCGGCAAUUCUUGCUUCCGUGGCUUCUUCAUCUUCUGGAGGUCAACCAUUAAAACACUCUUUGAUCCCUACUUCCACAUUCUUGCUGGAACAGAGGAGAUGCUCCUGAAUAAGCAUCAGACAGAUUUUGUCCAAAAAAUCUUAUCGAAUCUUCAUUUUGACUUAAUUUAAUUUUUACGUGGUUGUGGCUUUACAUGCUUGGCGUCAUCAAGUUUUAUUUUGGUGUUUAUCAAAAAAAAAAAAAAAAGAGUUUUAUUGUGGGGGAUAAUAUCACAUUUUGUUAAUUUAUUUAUUGAAUGAAAGGUGUUUUAUUA